AACGAACGCUGGCGGCAGGCUUAACACAUGCAAGUCGAACGCAUGCCUUCGGGCAUGAGUGGCAGACGGGUGAGUAACGCGUGGGAACCUACCCCUUGGUACGGGAUAGCUCCGGGAAACUGGAGAUAAUACCGUAUGUGUCCUGAGGGACAAAGAUUCAUCGCCAAGGGAUGGGCCCGCGUCGGAUUGGCUAGUUGGUGGGGUAACGGCCUACCAAGGCGACGAUCCGUAGCUGGUCUAAGAGGAUGAUAAGCCACAUUGGGACUGAGACACGGCCCAAACUCCUACGGAAGGCAGCAGUGGGGAAUAUUGGACAAUGGGCGCAAGCCUGAUCCAGCCAUGCCGCGUGAGUGAUGAAGGCCCUAGGGUUGUAAAGCUCUUUCACCGGUGACGAUAAUGACGGUAACCGGAGAAGAAGCCCCGGCUAACUUCGUG
rnacentral:rRNA from 1 species